rnacentral:rRNA from 1 species
AACCUGCGGAAGGAUCAUUACUGUGAUUUAGUACUACACUGCGUGAGCGGAACGAAAACAACAACACCUAAAAUGUGGAAUAUAGCAUAUAGUCGACAAGAGAAAUCUACGAAAAACAAACAAAACUUUCAACAACGGAUCUCUUGGUUCUCGCAUCGAUGAAGAGCGCAGCGAAAUGCGAUACCUAGUGUGAAUUGCAGCCAUCGUGAAUCAUCGAGUUCUUGAACGCACAUUGCGCCCCUCGGCAUUCCGGGGGGCAUGCCUGUUUGAGCGUCGUUUCCAUCUUGCGCGUGCGCAGAGUUGGGGGAGCGGAGCGGACGACGUGUAAAGAGCGUCGGAGCUGCGACUCGCCUGAAAGGGAGCGAAGCUGGCCGAGCGAACUAGACUUUUUUUCAGGGACGCUUGGCGGCCGAGAGCGAGUGUUGCGAGACAACAAAAAGCUCGACCUCAAAUCAGGUAGGAAUACCCGCUGAACUUAAGCAUAUCAAUAAG